rnacentral:rRNA from 1 species
GUCCACGCUGUAAACGAUGGGUGCUAGGCGUCGGGGGGAGCGACCCUCCCGGUGCCGUCGCUAACGCAAUAAGCACCCCGCCUGGGGAGUACGGCCGCAAGGUUGAAACUCAAAGGAAUUGACGGGGGCCCGCACAAGCGGUGGAGCAUGUGGUUUAAUUCGAUGCAACGCGAAGAACCUUACCUGGGCUUGACAUGUACGUGAAAGCCGGUGGAAACACCGGUCCUCCUUCGGGACGCGUACACAGGUGCUGCAUGGCUGUCGU